AGAACCCAGGCACAGCUGUCAUGAUUUAAAGGGCCUGGGGAUUUACAGGCCCUGCCCCUUCUGCCUGAGGUUCUGCCCCUUCCAGUUGUCCAUCCUGCUUGCCCAGGACCUGCAUACUGUGGUCUUCAGUCUGCUGAACUUGCUGCAGCUCAUUUCAUCGGAGUACAUGUGGGUCAGUUCCUAUCUGCAUGGAGCCCAGUAUGCUGAACCUCUCUGAUUCUGUGCCAGUGACUUGUAGCAGAGCUUGUCCUUCCUUCUGGGCAUACAGGAGGACUGUUGGAGGUUUAUCAACACUUGAGUAAUUUUUUUUUCUUUGUGCCUGCAUCCUCACUGCAAAGUAGGUGGGUUACCAGACUGAAUGAAAGCAGAAUCCAGGGUCUAACCUAUACCCCCAGCAAAGCUGGCUAGCCUGGCUUGAA